ACGAACGCUGGCGGCGUGCUUCACCCCUGCCCGUCGAACGGAAAGGCCCUGCUUUUGUGGGGUGCUCGAGUGGCGAACGGGUGAGUAACACGUGAGUAACCUGCCCUUGACUUUGGGAUAACUUCAGGAAACUGGGGCUAAUACCGGAUAGGAGCUCCUGCUGCAUGGUGGGGGUUGGAAAGUUUCGGCGGUUGGGGAUGGACUCGCGGCUUAUCAGCUUGUUGGUGGGGUAGUGGCUUACCAAGGCUUUGACGGGUAGCCGGCCUGAGAGGGUGACCGGCCACAUUGGGACUGAGAUACGGCCCAGACUCCUACGGGAGGCAGCAGUGGGGAAUAUUGCACAAUGGGCGGAAGCCUGAUGCAGCAACGCCGCGUGCGGGAUGACGGCCUUCGGGUUGUAAACCGCUUUCGCCUGUGACGAAGCGUGAGUGACGGUAAUGGGUAAAGAAGCACCGGCUAACUACGUG
rnacentral:rRNA from 1 species